GCCAUCAUGACCUAGUGGUCAGAGUGUUGGACUAGGACUCUGGGAGACCAGGGUUCGAAUCCCGCUUGGCU